rnacentral:rRNA from 1 species
GACGAACGCUGGCGGCGUGCUUAACACAUGCAAGUCGAACGGAAAGGCCCUGCUUUUGUGGGGUGCUCGAGUGGCGAACGGGUGAGUAACACGUGAGUAACCUGCCCUUGACUUUGGGAUAACUUCAGGAAACUGGGGCUAAUACCGGAUAGGAGCUCCUGCUGCAUGGUGGGGGUUGGAAAGUUUCGGCGGUUGGGGAUGGACUCGCGGCUUAUCAGCUUGUUGGUGGGGUAGUGGCUUACCAAGGCUUUGACGGGUAGCCGGCCUGAGAGGGUGACCGGCCACAUUGGGACUGAGAUACGGCCCAGACUCCUACGGGAGGCAGAAGUGGGGAAUAUUGCACAAUGGGCGGAAGCCUGAUGCAGCAACGCCGCGUGCGGGAUGACGGCCUUCGGGUUGUAAACCGCUUUCGACUGUGACGAAGAGUGAGUGACGGUAAUGGGUAAAGAAGCACCGGCUAACUACGUG